AGACCAUUCUGUGAACAGAUCAAGCUUCCUGAUUUUUCUUUGAGAGUUUGAGAACAUGGGCUGCUCUGGUUCAGUUGUCCCUUGAGGAGCGUAGCCCAGAUCAGGAGGCUUACGAGGGUGUUGCUCCAUUUCAACUCUCCAGCCACAAUCUUUAUCAUGAUCACAUCAGGAAUAAUCUCUACACAGCCAAACCAGAAGCCAGUUCUCAGUCUUCAUGCUAAUUAGCACCUCAGGGGGUGAAAACUGCAAAGCUUCAAUGUGACAUACCCACUUUUUUCUCACUGGAUUUUCAUACCUCACAUAACCAGGACACACAGGUUUCUCAAAAUGUGCGAGCAACACCAAGGUAAGCUUUGACAAGCUGACAGUACAAUCUCACGUCUCUUUCAUCCUUGCCCAAUCCUGUAGGCAUCCUACACUGAUUAAGUCUCAGCAGCCCAGUCACUUGUUUGCACGCGGGGGCGUUUUAUGAGACUUGGCCUUGGCACUUUACCUCUAUUUCUGGACGAGAGAGGAGUUGAGAGAAGGAAAAGCUGUAAAGCAAACAAACAAACAAAUCUGGCUCUUUCCUGAGGCCACCGCGAAGGGGCGGUUCGGCUCCUAGCCCGUCAGGACGUGCCCCGCCCCAACUCUCGUCCUCACCUCCCGGCAAGACCGCCACCGGAAGAGGGCGUGGCCUCCGUCGUGGGCGUGGCGCACAGCUGCGAGAGGCUGGACUGUGCAUUAGCGGGGGCGUGGCUAGAAAGGGGGCAGGGCGGGGUCUUAGAGUAGGCGGGACCGGGCCGGGCGGGCGCUCGGCGCCUACCCGGCUUGCCGGAGCCACUCGCGCUCCUGCGCCCCGCCAGGCCGGGUUCACGUGAAGCGCCGGCCCUCCGCCCCUCCCUCCCUUCCUUCCCUCCCCCCCUCCCUGUCCCCUCCUCCUGCGGCGCCCGCUCUGGCUCCCCCGGGCCCCCUGCCCGGCUGGGCGCUGACAGCAGCGGCGGGGGUCCCCGCAGCCGCCGCUGUGUCCCGCGCAGGCUCGGGCUGGGCCCGCGGAGCCCCCGGCGCGGCCAUGAACCGACCCCUGUCGGCGGAGGCGGAGGAGGAACUGGAGUGGCAAGUGGCGAGUCGCAGGAGGAAGGCCUGGGCCAAGUGCCGCAGCUCCUGGCAGGCGUCGGAGACCGAGGAUCUGUCCACAGAGACGACGACGCAGGACGAGGACGAGGACGACGAGGAGGACCUCCCAGGCACGAAGCUGCCGGCACCCGCGGGGCGAGGAAACGUGCCCAACGAGAAGAUCGCGAUAUGGCUCAAAGACUGCCGCACCCCUCUGGGAGCCUCACUGGAUGAGCAAAGCAGUGGUACGCCGAAGGGUGUGCUUGUGAGAAAUGGAGGAAGCUUUGAAGAUGACCUGUCACUGGGAGCUGAAGCCAAUCACCUACAUGAACCUGAUGCUCAAGUUGAAAACUGCAACAAUAUCUUGGCCAAGGAGAGAAGACUACAGUUUCAUCAGAAAGGGAGAAGUAUGAAUUCCACUGGGUCUGGGAAAAGCAGUGGUACCGUGUCAAGUGUCUCAGAACUGCUGGAGCUUUACGAGGAAGAUCCUGAAGAAAUUCUAUAUAAUCUUGGAUUUGGACGAGAUGAACCAGAUAUUGCUUCUAAAAUUCCUUCCAGAUUUUUUAAUUCAUCAUCCUUUGCCAGAGGCAUAGACAUUAAAGUAUUUCUGAGUGCACAGAUGCAACGGAUGGAAGUAGAGAACCCAAACUAUGCUCUGACAAGCCGAUUUCGCCAAAUUGAAGUCCUGACUACUGUGGCCAAUGCAUUUUCUUCUCUAUAUUCCCAAGUCUCUGGAACUCCACUGCAGAGGAUUGGAAGUAUGUCCUCGGUGACCUCCACCAAGGAGGUGGCAGACUCCCCGCCCCCUCUAACUCGAAGCAACACUGCAAACCGUCUGAUGAAAACACUAUCAAAACUGAACUUAUGUGUUGAUAAAACAGAGAAAGGAGAAGGGGGCUCUUCCCCCGCCACUGAGAAAGGAAGGACUCUAAGCAUCUCACUGUCUGAAGAUGGCGGCGGCGGCAAGAGUGACCCUAAGCUUCAGAAAGUUGUAAAGAAGAAGGAGUCGUCUUCGAUGCUGGCUACGGUUACAGAAGAAGUCUCAGGUAGUUCAUCAACCGUCACAGACAGCGUUGAUGCAGACAGACUUUCCGAGGAAGCAGACAGUACCAUUAGCCACCAGGAGGAAAGUGAAGAAAGCAGAGAGGCUCACAGUCAGGAGAAGGACCCGCUCCGCAAGUCUGCUGUGACAGAUCCUGACUUGGGUCAUGAUGGCCGCGUGUCCAGCCACUGCGAGCUGGAGAGCAGCAGUGAGCUGAAAAGUGCCCAGGCGUCUUCGAGCGAGAAAGAGCCUUGUGCACCCCUGACAAUCCCAUCCAUACGGAACAUAAUGACGCAGCAGAAAGACUCCUUUGAGAUGGAAGAGGUCCAGAGCACAGAGGGAGAAGCCCCUCACGUGCCAGCCACUUGCCAGCUAAGUCUUGCCAAGUCAAAAAGAGAUCAUCUGUUGAGAACUGCAAGUCAGCAUUCCGAUAGCAGCGGCUUUGCUGAGGACUCCACAGACUGUGUCUCCCUCAACCACCUCCUGGUGAACGAGUCCCUGCAAGCCAUGGGGAGCAGUGCUGACAGCUGUGACAGUGAAACCACCGUCACAUCGCUUGGUGAGGACCACGUGACUCCUACAGCGCAAGACCAGCCUUACUUCAAUGAGUCAGAGGAGGAGUCCCUGGCUCCUCUGCAGAAAGGAAGAGCAAAGGUGGAAAUAGUGGCUGAGAAAAGGAAAGCCGACAACCAAGAUUUCCCUCAGUGUGUGACCGCAGAGAAUGCUGGAAACAAUGAGUCCACAAAGGGCCCGUGUGAGCCUGGUCAUCAGAUCACAGAAACAGGGGAGCAUCCACCUCUGGCAGCCACUGGAGAGCUCCCCAGGGAAGAGAGUGUCGAGAGUGAUGUAGAGAAAGGCAGUGAAUGUGAAUUUGCCCAGUACACCACACACCAUAUUCUCAGAUCCUUGGCUUCCUUUGAAGCGCAGGGCAGCGGUAUGAGCUCUGAAAAGAAAACUGGGUUUCCCUCUUCUGUGGACAGAGUGAACACUGCCCUGCAGAGAGCUCAAAUGAAGGUCUGCAGUAUGUCUGGGCAGAGAGUAGGGCGUAGCCUAAUAAAAUCAAAGGAUCUGUUGAAACAAAGGUACUUGCUCGCAAAAGCUGGCUAUCCUCUGAGAAGGUCUCAGUCUUUGCCCACCACUUUACUGAGCCCAGUACGGGUGGUGUCUUCUGUCAAUGUGCGAUUAUCUCCAGGAAAAGAGACCAGGUGCAGCCCACCGUCCUUCACCUACAAGUACACACCCGAAGAGGAACAAGACCUGGAAAAGCAAGGAACUGAACACGAUGGUCAGUCUCUGGUUAAAUCUACCAUCUUCAUCCCGCCACCCUCUGUGAAGAAAGAAGAAGCCCCUCAGAGUGAGGGGACACGACUGGAGGAAUGCCACCAUGGAAGGCUUGCCCCCUGCCCACAGUUCGCUCCAAUAUCCCAGUCCACCUGCUCCCUUCACUCUGUCCACUCUGAGUGGCAGGACAGACCCCUGUGUGAACACAUGAGGACUCUGAGUGCCCACAGUGUCCCCAACAUAUCGGGUGCCGCAUGUAGUGCCUUCUCUCCUUUCGGGUGUCCCUAUUCACACAGACAUGCUGCCCACCCAUACAGGGCAUGCUCUGUGAAUCCUCCUUCUGCCAUUGAGAUGCAGUUGCGGAGAGUGUUGCAUGAUAUUAGAAGCUCACUACAGAAUCUUUCACAGCUCUCCUCUAACUUUCUAAGACUUCUCGUUGACUCCGGUGGCUCCCUGCUCUCCUGAGCUUUGUAGCUCUCUGCCUAAGCUUUCCUGCUCACCUGCUCAUCUCUGAUGCUGGCCUCCUGGCACAGAAUUAGUCUCUUUCCAUGGGCUCAAAGCUGGAACCACUCCAAAGAGAAUCAGUAUCCUAUGACGAGAGGACCUGACCUUGCUGCUGCUCCAUACAGUACUCAGAACUCGUCUGUCCUACCUCUUUAUGAAAAUACCUUCCAGGAGCUUCAAGUCGUGAGGCGGAGCCUGAAUCUGUUCAGAACGCAGAUGAUGGACUUGGAGCUGGCCAUGCUGCGGCAGCAAACCGUGGUGUACCCUCAUAUGACAGAGGAGGACAGGUAUGAAGUUGAUCAGCUGCAGGGUUUGCGGAACUCUGUCCGAAUGGAACUGCAGGACCUGGAGAUGCAGCUGGAGGAGCGCUUGCUGGGCCUGGAUGAGCAGCUCCGUGCAGUGCGGGUGCCAUCACCUUUCCGCCCCUCUGCACUCCCGGGGAUGUGUGGCAGCAGGAGCGUAGAUAACUUAUCAUGCCCGUCUCCACUGAACGUCAUGGAGCCCGUCACAGAGCUAAUUCGGGAGCAAUCAUACCUGAAGUCUGAGCUGGGCCUGGGCCUUGGAGACAUGGCGUAUGAAAUUCCUCCUGGAGAGAGCUCGGAGUCCGUUUUCUCUCAAGCCACAUCAGAGUCAUCUUCCGUCUGCUCCAGCCCCUCCCACACCAACAGAAGAUCUAGAGGGCUACCUGGGAGCAAACCCAGAGCCCGCUUAGUGGCGAGAAAGAAGAUAUUCCGAGCCUCUGUGGCCCUGACACCAACUGCCCCCUCUAGAACAGGCUCUGUGCAAACACCUCCAGAUCUGGAGAGUUCCGAAGAAGCUGGAGGAGCUGAGGAAGCAUCCCCGGUAGUGGGGCUUGCAUCUCACGUGGAGGAAGAGCCAGAGGAUCUCUCACUGAUGCCAGCAGCCGAGGAGAUGCACAGGAAUGUGGAGCAAGAUGAACUGCAGCAAGUCAUCCGAGAGAUUAAAGAGUCUAUUGUUGGGGAAAUUCGACGAGAAAUUGUAAGUGGACUUUUGGCAGCAGUGUCUUCAAGUAAAGCACCUGGUCCUAAGCAGGACAGCCACUGAGCGGACGCCUUCGGGUUGAGAUGGAUCCCAUUAACUAAUAUAGGCAUUGUCAGUGAUUUAUGCUGGUGGAGGUGUUGUUUGUCCUAUGGAAGAUAUUUUCUACUGAGCUGGGCUACUGUACACAAUGGACAGUGUGCAUUUCUGUACAGGUUACGGUUCUAUGCAUAAACAUUUUAGAAAACAAACAUAGAAACUUAGGCACUUUGCUGACUCCUUUCUGAACUAUCAGACUGGCCAUUUGAAAGCCUAGUAUUUAUUUGUAUGUCAAUAUUUGCCCAGUUGAUGUCCUAUGUAGAGUUAAUUGUAAAACUUGAAGAAUUUCAGACAUAACCAACUUAUAAAUGACCUAUUUCUUCAGGCUAGCUUCUACAACACUGACCUCCAUGAGGUAUUUACUGUGCAAUAACAGAUUCGUCUUCUGAGAGCUUGAAGCAACCCAUGAUUUGUCCCUCCACUGCUCUUCACUGGGUUCACUUCCAAGGAGACUAAUGGCUCUAUUGUAAAAAUUGCUCUUAAUUCUUGAAGAGGCUACUGAGAAGCAGUGGGGUAGAUCUCAUGAGGUUACCUACAGCUACUUCAUGUUCUUACACUGUAAGCCUUGUUGCUUUGCCCCAACAAUUGUAAUUUGAUUAUAGCUAUGAGCCUUAUGGUAGACACUAUGUACCCUCUGCGGUGUAAUUGCAUUAUAGCUAUGUGCCUUGUGGUAAGCACUAUGUACUCUCUGCAUUGUCCAAAUGUCUUACUUUAAGGUGUUUCUUCUGUCUUUUCGACUAAGUAGUAUUGUCAAGAUAAUGGGGCCUGUGACUUGAAUGGAUAGAAUAGAAAUGAAUAAGCUGGUUUUUGUUUUUCCAAAUGAGAUUUAGAUUUGUUUUUCUCAUGCAUAAAUGAUUUUAAUUCAGUUUUAACCAGUGAAAACUCGUGGUUUUUCUGAAAGAAAAAAGAAAAGGGUUUCCUAUCUGGUAUUAUAUAUGUCAAAUAAAUGUAUAAAGUAACACCCAAAUGUUAUUAGAAACUAGUCUUUUAGUAUUUGUAAUUUUCAACUCUUAUUGUGUUACUUUGUGUGAAAAUUUUUAGUCAAAAGUGCUUGGAAUAAUGGAAUGGUUAGCAUUCUUUGAAAGAGUAUCUAAAAAGUUUAUAAAUAUUUGAACUAUCACACAAAGGUUGAUCUCUAAAAAAACAAAAAACCCCAUUAAAACAAUAAAGAAUUUAUUUUGCCUAAAA